AUUGAACGCUGGCGGCAUGCCUUACACAUGCAAGUCGAACGGCAGCACGGGAGCUUGCUCCUGGUGGCGAGUGGCGAACGGGUGAGUAAUACAUCGGAACGUACCCUGAAGUGGGGGAUAACGUAGCGAAAGUUACGCUAAUACCGCAUAUUCUGUGAGCAGGAAAGAGGGGGAUCGCAAGACCUCUUGCUUUAGGAGCGGCCGAUGUCGGAUUAGCUAGUUGGUGAGGUAAAGGCUCACCAAGGCGACGAUCCGUAGCGGGUCUGAGAGGAUGAUCCGCCACACUGGGACUGAGACACGGCCCAGACUCCUACGGGAGGCAGCAGUGGGGAAUUUUGGACAAUGGGCGCAAGCCUGAUCCAGCCAUGCCGCGUGAGUGAAGAAGGCCUUCGGGUUGUAAAGCUCUUUCGGUGGGGAAGGAAAUUAGGCUUCGGUUAAUACCUGGAGUAGAUGACGGUACCCGCAUAAGAAGCACCGGCUAACUACGUGCCAGCAGCCGCGGUAA
rnacentral:rRNA from 1 species